rnacentral:rRNA from 1 species
UACGUAGGGUGCAGGCGUUAAUCGGAAUUACUGGGCGUAAAGCGUGCGCAGGCGGUUUGCUAAGACAGGUGUGAAAUCCCCGGGCUUAACCUGGGAACUGCGCUUGUUACUGGCAGGCUUGAGUGUGGCAGAGGGGGGUGGAAUUCCAGGUGUAGCGGUGAAAUGCGUAGAUAUCUGGAGGAACACCGGUGGCGAAGGCGGCAUCCUGGACCAAUACUGACGCUCAUGUGCGAAAGCGUGGGGAGCAAACAGG